AGAGUUUGAUCAUGGCUCAGAACGAACGCUGGCGGCAUGCCUAACACAUGCAAGUCGAACGAAGCCUUCGGGCUUAGUGGCGCACGGGUGCGUAACACGUGGGAAUCUGCCCUUCGGUUCGGAAUAACAGUUAGAAAUGACUGCUAAUACCGGAUGAUGACGAAAGUCCAAAGAUUUAUCGCCGAAGGAUGAGCCCGCGUAGGAUUAGGUAGUUGGUAGGGUAAUGGCCUACCAAGCCGACGAUCCUUAGCUGGUCUGAGAGGAUGAUCAGCCACACUGGGACUGAGACACGGCCCAGACUCCUACGGGAGGCAGCAGUGGGGAAUAUUGGACAAUGGGCGAAAGCCUGAUCCAGCAAUGCCGCGUGAGUGAUGAAGGCCUUAGGGUUGUAAAGCUCUUUACCAGGGAUGAUAAUGACAGUACCUGGAGAAUAAGCUCCGGCUAACUCCGUG
rnacentral:rRNA from 1 species